GUAUACAUUUGGAACAGAUGUAACUUUGCUUUAAUCCAAAUGGAUGGCCAACUGUCAUAUCGCUAAUUUUGUCCUUGCUGAUCUGACAUAAAUGAAACCACAUCUAUGUAUAUAUGUGCUACAUAAAGCCAUUACGCUUCUAGUGAGAUAUACAUACUUACACACACACCUGUUUUUGACUCUAUUGAUCUAUCUGUCUAUUUCCGUACCAUUACCACACUUUUACUAGACUGGUACAGUUUGUAGCACAUUUUGAUAUGAGGUAGAGAAGAUCCUUCCUAACUGUGCUUAUUUCAAACAUUUCUUGGCUAUUUUAAUGCUUUCUCCUCUAGAUCAACUUCAGAAGAUCAAUUUGGGAAAGAAUUUGCUUAGUUUUGUAAAGAUUCUAUUGAGGUUUUAUUGAGAUUGCAAUGGAUGUCUAGAUUAAUUUGGAGAAAAUUGAUAGCUUUAUAAAUACCCAUUGUUUAAUCAGAAAGGGAAUAUUUUUUUUCCCUCUUUAGAUCUUCUUGCAGUCAUUUUGUCUUCCAUGCAGUUUUUAUAGUUUGUAGUGGUUUUGUCUUACGCGUAGUUGAAAUGUUUAUGUUUAGUAUAGUUCCAGCUAUCUUGUAGGCUUUUAUUAUGAAUUGGAUGAUUUUUCUCCCUGACAUUUCUAAUUGGCUAUCGUGGUACACAGGAAAGCUAAUUAGUUUUCGUAUGCUGACUAUAUAUAUCUCAAGUGAAUUCUUAUUUGUUCUUAUAGUUUUUUAGUUGAUUUUUUCUUUUUUUAACUCUUUAGGAAGAUGUUUCUAUCAUGUAUAAAAUCCAAUCUUUUUAGCUUCCCUACUACAUUGCUUCCCUUAUGAGUGUUAAAUUUGGGAAUUUAAAAUAUUAUAUGGAAAUUUAAGGGGGCUAAAAAAGUUUUAAUUUGGAGCAUAGUGCACAUUUUGAUAAGAGAUUUCAAAGUAUAUUUCUUGCCCAUCAUAUAUAUUUUGUACUUUACCCUGGCUUUGGAAUGACAGUCACUUAAACUUUUUGAAAAAUUAAGGCAUUGUUAAAAAGAAUUGUGCAUUAAAAUUAACAUUUACCUGAAGUAUUAGAUUUUAUUCUUAGCUAAAAUGAAUAGGACAUUAAGAAUUCCUUUAAUUUACAAAUUAGCUACCACUAACUACAGAUGAUUCAUCAAAAGCUACAAUUUAAACUUCUGAGAAAGCACAGAUAGUUGAACAGAGGAAUUAAAGAUGCUAUUGAAUGUGUUUUCAAUUUUUAAAUGGGAGGUACAGACCAAAUAAAGUCUACAUAUGAUUUUUUUUUAACAAAUGCUUCAAAUCUGAUCACUUCUAUGGCACAUCUGAGUUUUCUGGGCAGAUUAGCACCUAUAAGACCCCACUUGCUAAUUAACAGAGCCAUCAGAGGAUCGGAUGAUGAAAAUUUAAAAAUAGACAGUCUUUAUGCU
rnacentral:lncRNA from 1 species